CAGCUGCCUUCGGCUUUUUGCCGGUAAUCUUUCCGAGUUAUUUACAAUUUUCUACAAUAUUAACGUUAUCUCUGGCUAACGACGGUAAUACGCCGGCAAGACUAGCUUACAUGUUUAAUUGUACAAACAACGUUCGUUAGUAUGUGUAUACAUACAUACAUAUGAGAUGGAAGAGGUGCAUGGUUAUUGUUGCUAAAUAUGCCCUACACACAAUGGGGAUGCAUACAUGCGUUAAGUACUGAAAUCGAUUGUUAGAUCGUUUAUGUGAAAUACUUCCUACCACUGAGAACUUUUCGAGAUAAGAUAUUCAGGAUUCGCUUUUCCGGGGAAAAAAAAUUUGAGGGAUCUUGCUGUGUUUAAGGUAAAUGAGUUCUUGGUCUUCAUUAAUGCCCCAAAGAUGGUGUUAAGGACGAAAUUCCGUGUAUACUUUAAUACACUCGAUAACGAUAUGUCCCUGAGACUGCAGAACGAUAGCAGUCUUUCAGAAUAGGUCUGUGUCAUUUUUAAAUCCUGUGACCGGAAUUACAACCUUUGAAACUCAGGAUUUAUGUUAACAGUAAGCGAUGUUCAGAGUCUUGGAUUCAAGGAUAGUAUGGUCGAGGUGCGUGGCGGAAUUUUUGGCAUAUUUGGAGGGAUUUUCAACAAUUUCAUCAGCCAUCAAAAGCCACACGGCAACGAUAAAAACUAAUGAAGUAACUAAAGAAAAUAUCGUUCUCGGUUUGUGACAAUUAUUCGGAACUUGCAGAUGAUGGUGACACACACAUGGUUUGUUAUUCGGAUACAGAUGCCCAGGAAGACUUCAAAAAAUAAGUAUGAAAUCAUACAAAUUAUGUCCAUAAACUUGCAAUUAAGAAACAUUUAC
rnacentral:sRNA from 1 species